rnacentral:rRNA from 1 species
GACGAACGCUGGCGGCGUGCUUAACACAUGUAAGUCGAACGAUGAAGCCGGAGCUUGCUCUGGUGAAUUAGUGGCGAACGGGUGAGUGACACGUGAGUAACCUGCCCUUGACUCUGGGAUAACUGCUAGAAAUGGUAGCUAAUACCGGAUACGACCCUCGGAGGCAUCUCCAGGGGGUGGAAAGAAUUUCGGUCAAGGAUGGACUCGCGGCCUAUCAGCUAGUUGGUGAGGUAACGGCUCACCAAGGCGACGACGGGUAGCCGGCCUGAGAGGGUGACCGGCCACACUGGGACUGAGACACGGCCCAGACUGCUACGGGAGGCAGCAGUGGGGAAUAUUGCACAAUGGGCGCAAGCCUGAUGCAGCAACGCCGCGUGAGGGAUGACGGCCUUCGGGUUGUAAACCUCUUUUAGUAGGGAAGAAGCGAAAGUGACGGUACCUGCAGAAAAAGCACCGGCUAACUACGUGCCAGCAGCCGCCGUAA